GGCUAGCUCAAUCGGUAGAGCGUGAGACUCUUAGCUUUCACGUCCUAAUCAGACUCGAUUGGUUAUCUCAAGGUUGUGGGUUCGGUUCGUAUACCCUCCAACAACU